rnacentral:rRNA from 1 species
CGCGUAGGCGGCCAAUUAAGUCAAAUGUGAAAUCCCCGAGCUUAACUUGGGAAUUGCAUUCGAUACUGGUUGGCUAGAGUGUGGGAGAGGAUGGUAGAAUUCCAGGUGUAGCGGUGAAAUGCGUAGAGAUCUGGAGGAAUACCGAUGGCGAAGGCAGCCAUCUGGCCUAACACUGACGCUGAGGUGCGAAAGCAUGGGGAGCAAACAGGAUUAGAUACCCCCGUA